GAUGAACGCUGGCGGCGUGCUUAACACAUGCAAGUCGAACGAGAAGUGAAGACGGAAACCUUCGGGCGGAAGGCUUUAUUUCGAGUGGCGGACGGGUGAGUAACGCGUGGGUAACCUGCCUCAUACAGGGGGAUAACAGUUGGAAACGACUGUUAAUACCGCAUAAGACCACAGCACCGCAUGGUGCGGGGGUAAAAACUCCGGUGGUAUGAGAUGGACCCGCGUUCGAUUAGCCAGUUGGCGGGGUAACGGCCCACCAAAGCGACGAUCGAUAGCCGAUCUGAGAGGAUGACCGGCCACAUUGGGACUGAGGCACGGCCCAAACUCCGACGGGAGGCAGCAGUGGGGAAUAUUGCACAAUGGGGGAAACCCUGAUGCAGCGACGCCGCGUGAGUGAAGAAGUAUUUCGGUAUGUAAAGCUCUAUCAGCAGGGAAGAAAAUGACGGUACCUGAGUAAGAAGCCCCGGCUAACUACGUG
rnacentral:rRNA from 1 species